AGCAGCCGCGGUAAUUCCAGCUCCAAUAGCGUAUAUUAAAGUUGUUGCAGUUAAAAAGCUCGUAGUUGAAUUUCGGGAUCAAUUGAUUGGUCAUGCCUUGGUAUGAACUGGUCAUAUUGGUUCUCACCUUCUAAUGAACCAUAAUGUCAUUCACUUGAUGUUAUGGGGAAUUAGGACUGUUACCUUGAAAAAUUAGAGUGUUUAAAGCAGGCUUACGCUUGAAUACAUUAGCAUGGAAUAAUGAAAUAGGACAUCGCAUUCUAUUUUGUUGGUUUCUAGGAUCGAUGUAAUGAUUAAUAGGGAUAGUUGGGGGCAUUAGUAUUCAAUUGUCAGAGGUGAAAUUCUUGGAUUUAUUGAAGACUAACUACUGCGAAAGCAUUUGCCAAGGAUGUUUUCAUUAAUCAAGAACGAAAGUUAGGGGAUCGAAGACGAUCAGAUACCGUCGUAGUCUUAACCAUAAACUAUGCCGACUAGGGAUCGGAUGAUGUUAAUUUUAAAU
rnacentral:sRNA from 1 species